rnacentral:rRNA from 1 species
CGAAAGCCUGACGCAGCAACACCGCGUGCGGGAUGAAGGCCUUUGGGUUGUAAACCGCUGUCAGCAGGGAAUAAAUUGACUGUACCUGCAGAGGAAGCACCGGCUAACUACGUGCCAGCAGCCGCGGUAAGACGUAGGGUGCAAGCGUUGUCCGGAAUUAUUGGGCGUAAAGAGUUCGUAGGCGGUUGCCUAAGUCUGGUGUUAAAGCCUGUCGCUCAACGACAGCAUGGCAUUGGAAACUGGGCAGCUAGAGUGUGGUAGAGGUCACGGGAAUUCCUGGUGUAGCGGUGAAAUGCGUAGAUAUCAGGAGGAACACCGGUGGCGAAAGCGCGUGACUGGGCCACAACUGACGCUGAGGAACGAAAGCCAGGGGAGCGAAAGGGAUUAGAUACCCCUGUAGUCCUGGCCGUAAACGAUGGAUACUAGGUGUUGGAGGAUUCCGACCCCCUCAGUGCCGUAGCUAACGCGAUAAGUAUCCCGCCUGGGGAGUACGACCGCAAGGUUG